rnacentral:rRNA from 1 species
UACGAAGGGUGCAAGCGUUAAUCGGAAUUACUGGGCGUAAAGGGUGCGUAGGCGGUUGUUUAAGUCUGCCGUGAAAUCCCCGGGCUCAACCUGGGAAUGGCAAUGGAUACUGGCUGGCUAGAGUGUGUCAGAGGAUGGUGGAAUUCCCGGUGUAGCGGUGAAAUGCGUAGAGAUCGGGAGGAACAUCAGUGGCGAAGGCGGCCAUCUGGGACAACACUGACGCUGAAGCACGAAAGCGUGGGGAGCAAACAGG